AUUGUAAAAGGCGAUGGAGUCCGCCGUACAAAUGCCAAUGAUGGCUGAUGACUCCUACAGAUGC
rnacentral:ncRNA from 2 species